AUGUCCAACUGGUUGGCUGCAAAAUCAUAGUCUAUGAGAAGUUGAGAACGAAUAAACACCAGCUACACCUCCCAAAGAAGAAUGAAGAAUCUGCUCUUACACCAGAAACAUAACCUGCUUUUCUAAAAAGAUUGUCUGAAAUGCUAAAUUUAUCUUGAAAUCGACCUUUUGCAGGCAUUCCAAGGAAUCAGUUCUAGAAAACAAAAUACCAGCAGACACAGUGAAAGUAAAAGAAACAUUAACUAGAAUCUUCUCCUAACCAUGGGCAGCUUUCAACCAUCUUCAGAUGCCAACUUGAGGACAGGUUGGAAAGGAGUAUACAUAAAGAAAAAAGGAACUAUGGAACUAGAGAAGACGUCACUUGCACCAGAAUAUAUUUUAUAAGAAUGGUACUAUUCCUUUAGUUUUUCAAUUCACGGUCAAGUCUACAUAAAAGUGUACAAUUUGUGCA